AUACUCUGGUUUCUCUUCAGAUCGUAUAAAUCUUUCCCCUUUUACUAAAGAUUUCCGUGGUGAUACUCUAACGAUAAUGAAUUUGACUCCUGAACCUCAACUCUAGCUGGAAAU
ensembl:snRNA U5 U5 spliceosomal RNA